rnacentral:rRNA from 1 species
CAUGCAAGUCGAGCGAGACUUUCAAAACUGAUCCCUUUGGGGUGACGUUUUGACUGUUCUAGCGGCGGAUGGGUGAGUAACGCGUGAGAAACCCUGCCUUUGACAAAGGGAUAGCCUCGGGAAACUGGGAUUAAUACCUUAUGAUACUUUUACUUCACAUGAAGUUUAAGUUAAAGCGUAAAGCGGUCAUGGAUGGUCUCGCGUCCCAUUAGUUAGUUGGUGAGGUAAUGGCUCACCAAGACGACGAUGGGUAGCCGGCCUGAGAGGGUGAACGGCCACACUGGAACUGAGACACGGUCCAGACUCCUACGGGAGGCAGCAGUGGGGAAUAUUGCACAAUGGAGGAAACUCUGAUGCAGCGACGCCGCGUGAACGAUGAAGGCUUUCGGGUCGUAAAGUUCUGUCCUUGGGGACGAUAAUGACGGUACCCAAGGAGGAAGCCCCGGCUAACUACGUGCCAGCAGCCGCGGUAAUACGUAGGGGGCAAGCGUUGUCCGGAUUUAUUGGGCGUAAAGGGUUCGCAGGUGGCCUUUUAAGUCAGAUGUGAAAGAUCAAGGCUUAACCUUGGUAAGCAUUUGAAACUGAAAGGCUUGAGUUAAGGAGAGGAAAGUGGAAUUCCUAGUGUAGCGGUGAAAUGCGUAGAUAUUAGGAGGAAUACCAGUGGCGAAGGCGAC